rnacentral:rRNA from 1 species
UACGGGGGGGGUAAGCGUUGUUCGGAAUUACUGGGCGUAAAGGGCUCGUAGGCGGCCAACUAAGUCAUACGUGAAAUCCCUCAGCUUAACUGGGGAACUGCGUCCGAUACUGGGAGGCUUGAAUCCGGGAGAGGGAUGUGGAAUUCCAGGUGUAGCGGUGAAAUGCGUAGAUAUCUGGAGGAACACCGGUGGCGAAGGCGGCAUCCUGGACCGGUAUUGACGCUGAGGCGCGAAAGCCAGGGGAGCAAACGGG